CCAUCCCAAUCUGCUCUGCUGACUGCAAAGUUUCACCCAGAACCAACAGGAAAGAUGCAGUUUUCAAAAAACUGAAUCCAGUCAGUGAAUGAUAACAGGUCUCUGUUGCUGUGCAGAACAACCAGCAACAACACAGUGAUCCGAUGGCAUCAGAGAAGCCUCAGAUCUGCAAGCAACAAUCCAUCAGUGAUCAGAUUCUGCAGCCUUUUUCUUCAAGGUAUGCCCUGACAAGACCCACAUAAAUGUUAUUCUGGACAUAGAUUUUUAGGAUUUCCAUUCUUAGUACAAAUGCCCAUUGUUCUGGAGAGAUUCAUAAUGAAGAUUUUUUUCCUGUGGACUGGGCCAACUUGCUUUCCUGUGCCAGUAAUUCACUGCUUUCAAAGAUGAACCUGUUUUGUACUGCCAGGAAAUCUUACCUGCUGACCAAGAUAUUUCUCCACUACUUAGGAUGUCAACCUGCAAACUGAUAGAGUUUUCUGUCUAAUAGAAGUGAAUAAACUGCCUAAUAAGCAGGUGCUUGAUAACACCACUUCCUUUCUCUCAGUACAGAAGGUGAGAUUGUAGAAACAUGCAAAAUAUCUUAAUGUGGUGCUUCAUUCACCCUUCAGAUUAAUGCUUAGUCCCAGGAUGACCAAUGCAUCUUCAACUUGCUGUGUACCAAGGAAUGUACAGGAUGAUGAUUUGGGAGCUGACCUUUGGCAUGCCCAGGAAUGGGACACUGCUCGGAGUUGGCGCAUACUGAAAACUGUGCAAUGUGGAGUGGUAUCACAGGUUCUUAGUUAACCUGAUAUGGAAGCUUAAUUUUUUGGAUCAUAUUGAAAUAUUCCAGAACCAUCUUGAUACAUUCUAUAUGGAGCACUAACAGAUCUCCAUGUGGCAUGAGUACAGCAAAAAUACAGGUAAUCUACAUCAAUCUCCACAGAAGAGAUGAUGUGUUCUUUUUUGCUUGUGGCUGAUGACCUGUUCUUCUACAAGUCUGAUUAAUUUUGACCUUAUUCAAGUAAGGAGGUAGCCAACUAGACAUCUGCAUGUUCAACUGAGCACAAUGUAAAUGGAUGCACUUUUGUGCAUCCAAACGAGACAUAUGAUGCAAGUGUGUUUGGAGUUGUACAUGGACUGAAACUUAGUGGAUGGAUCUAAGGAUUUAAAAAUGAAAUCUUCAAAAUCAGUUUACUCCUCUCUAGAGAUUGAAAGUGAAUGUCAUUUAAGCUAUGUUUUGAAGAAUACAUUCUCGUAUUGACCAACAGAUGUCAAAGAAUCUUUGUUUGUGCCUUAUCAUGCACUUAUAUGUACCUUCCUGUGCUGGCUUUUGAGCUGAAGAGGCAUAAGAUCAUCUUUUAGUUAGCCAGAAAGAUGAGUUGAGAAGCUUUUUAUCCUAUGUGAAAUCUACUCAACACUAGGAUUUCUGCAUCCCUAUGUGAGUAGAAAGGGUAAGAAAAACAGACACAUAGCAUCCCUUCACAAGGCUUAAUCACACUAGUCAAAACCAAAAUACAGCUCAACGGUAUUUGUAUGAACCCUUUAUAACACUACAUUUAAGUUUGAGUGCCAGAAAGAAAAACAAAACCAGCUGAAGGAAUGUGCAAGGCGAUGCUCACAUAUCACGACUGCCUUGAGGUCAUAGAAUCAUAGCAUGGCUUACGUUGAACAGGACAUUAAAGAUCAUCUAUUUCCAAUCUCCUGCCAUGGGCAGAGUUGCCAAGCACUCUAUCUAUUCCAAUGCCUUUUUCGAAUUACAGGGCAUCCUCUCCAUAGUAUGCAAGAGGGGAGAGCCUUUUUUAGGAGUUCUUUGCAAUGCUAUUCAUGUUAGAAGAGACAGUGACUCAAAACAUGGAAGUGCUUGUACAGCAAGGCUCUGUUCUUGGUCCAAUAUGGCUGUAACCAUGCAGUCUCCAAAACAAAUGACAAGGCACAAACUUGCAUUCUUUGUUCUUUAAUUGGUAAAUGUCUUUAAAUACCAUCAACACAAGUGGCUGCUUUUACAUUGAAGGAUGUCUUAGGGAAAUGCAUUGACUUGUUUCCCACUUCACUGGAAACACUUACCACACAAUUUACAGGUAACAACGAGCAAAGAUUCAGGCAAUGCUGCUUAACAAAGCCACUUUCUUAAAGUGCACUUAACUGUAAAUACCCAAUUCUUGAAGAAGUGCACUGCCUACAAAGAUGUAUCAUAAUGCUUCAGUUUUUGAAACUGGAAGGCAGAUGAGCUACCCUCCUUGGGGACCAUUUUGUAAAAUUAUGUGCUCCAGGUACAAUCUAGUUCACUCACUGUCAAAUAAAAUAAAUAAAAUAAAAUAAAUAAAAUAAAAAUAAAUAAAUAAAUAAAGCAUUUUCUAAAGGUGUAUCUGUGAGCCCCAGGGUUGAGCCGUCUCUGGCAGCAAGGAUUAAGUAUUAUAGAAUCAUAGAAUCAUAGAAUUACCCAAGUUGCAAAAGACCUUGAAGAUCAUCAAGUCCAACCGCAGCCUAACCAUAGUACCCUAAC